GGGAACAUGGCUGAGUGGUAGAGUGCUUGCCUAGCAUGCAUGAAACCCUGGGUUCGAUUCCUCAGUGCCA
rnacentral:tRNA from 1 species